rnacentral:ncRNA from 1 species
GCAGAGUAGAUGCAAGAGCGUUAAGUGUCUGGUGAACAGGGAGUUGACACCAGAACGAAAAAACGUUGAUUUUGCGGUUCUUGUGUCGCAUCCCGCUGC